rnacentral:lncRNA from 10 species
GAAAGGAUUGGGAGGAAGAAUGAAAAGAUACCUUUCCUUUAGACAUUUCUAAGCUUGCAAAUGCACAGGCAAUGAGAACCACCUCUCUUCACUCCCUGGCAUUUGAGGCUUUUUACGUAAAAAUUUAAACUAAUGAUUAUAUUAGAAAUUUUUAAAUGUUUAAAAAAAGUAUGUUGUAAAAUUGAGGAAAUAUAGUAUUUUGAGAGUCCAAACACGUUCAUGCAGUUGAUUGAGCCUAAGUGUUGGGUUAAUCCUAGUAAGUGAUUGAUCUUUUUAGGUAGGUAAGGGAAUAAACAGAAGAUCAGAAAAGAAGAGGUACUACUAUUACAUUUUAAGUUUCCAAAUAUACUACUAAGUGUCUCUAGUAAAACUUAACUCAUUGAAGAAGAAAAUAGUCUGACUCUAAAAAAAGAGUGUGUGUUCCUGAGAAAGACUAAACCAGUUAUUUUCUCCUUUCAUGUUUGAAUGAAUAACCAUCAGCAAGGGAGAGAUGCACUGACCUUCUGCCAGGAAUCCUAGAGUUCCUUGGAGAGGAUAUGAAGGUUAUUCUCAGGCCAUGCAGAUGGGCAAGAAAGGAUGUGCGUCCAUGGUUCCUCUUCAAAUCCAACCAAAACAGCCUUGCUUCCGUUGGCUUUAUAUAAUACUGCAACUCUUGAUAAUCUGAUUUAACACAAAUUUCCUCAUUGAGUUUCUCCUCAUGAAGAAACGGCCUCAGUGAGGUAAAUCGGAAUGCACAGGAGCACAUAGCAGGUUAGUGCAGACCAGAAAUCAAACCCA